GUUGCGUUAGUCCAGUGGUUUAGGACGCCUGUUUCACAUUCAUUGGCCUCUGGCAGCACAGGAAGUCAUGAGUUCGACUCUCAUACGCAACA